rnacentral:lncRNA from 1 species
UAACGGGGGAUUGGCUACUAAUCCUUUCUAUCCGUCAAUUGCCUCAACUCUUGGAGGUCUUAUCAGAUAGCACAUGCCUCAUCUUGGAGGUCUUUGGCACAAUUGUAAACAAACACAAACAGAGCCUCUGAAGGAGGACUUGCCAGCAAAAUGCCUGCCAAAAAGGUGACAGGACUUCCAGACUACAUGAAGUAAGAAGAUAACUACCUAAGUGGUGUAUCAACCAUAAUCAAAAGCUC